AGAGUUUGAUCAUGGCUCAGAUUGAACGCUGGCGGCAGGCCUAACACAUGCAAGUCGAACGGUAACAGGAAGCAGCUUGCUGCUUUGCUGACGAGUGGCGGACGGGUGAGUAAUGUCUGGGAAACUGCCUGAUGGAGGGGGAUAACUACUGGAAACGGUGGCUAAUACCGCAUAACGUCGCAAGACCAAAGAGGGGGACCUUCGGGCCUCUUGCCAUCAGAUGUGCCCAGAUGGGAUUAGCUAGUUGGUGAGGUAACGGCUCACCAAGGCGACGAUCCCUAGCUGGUCUGAGAGGAUGACCAGCCACACUGGAACUGAGACACGGUCCAGACUCCUACGGGAGGCAGCAGUGGGGAAUAUUGCACAAUGGGCGCAAGCCUGAUGCAGCCAUGCCGCGUGUAUGAAGAAGGCCUUCGGGUUGUAAAGUACUUUCAGCGGGGAGGAAGGUGUUGUGGUUAAUAACCGCAGCAAUUGACGUUACCCGCAGAAGAAGCACCGGCUAACUCCGUGCCAGCAGCCGCGGUAAUACGGAGGGUGCAAGCGUUAAUCGGAAUUACUGGGCGUAAAGCGCACGCAGGCGGUCUGUCAAGUCGGAUGUGAAAUCCCCGGGCUCAACCUGGGAACUGCAUUCGAAACUGGCAGGCUUGAGUCUUGUAGAGGGGGGUAGAAUUCCAGGUGUAGCGGUGAAAUGCGUAGAGAUCUGGAGGAAUACCGGUGGCGAAGGCGGCCCCCUGGACAAAGACUGACGCUCAGGUGCGAAAGCGUGGGGAGCAAACAGGAUUAGAUACCCUGGUAGUCCACGCCGUAAACGAUGUCUACUUGGAGGUUGUGCCCUUGAGGCGUGGCUUCCGGAGCUAACGCGUUAAGUAGACCGCCUGGGGAGUACGGCCGCAAGGUUAAAACUCAAAUGAAUUGACGGGGGGCCCGCACAAGCGGUGGAGCAUGUGGUUUAAUUCGAUGCAACGCGAAGAACCUUACCUGGUCUUGACAUCCACAGAACUUUCCAGAGAUGGAUUGGUGCCUUCGGGAACUGUGAGACAGGUGCUGCAUGGCUGUCGUCAGCUCGUGUUGUGAAAUGUUGGGUUAAGUCCCGCAACGAGCGCAACCCUUAUCCUUUGUUGCCAGCGAUUAGGUCGGGAACUCAAAGGAGACUGCCAGUGAUAAACUGGAGGAAGGUGGGGAUGACGUCAAGUCAUCAUGGCCCUUACGACCAGGGCUACACACGUGCUACAAUGGCGCAUACAAAGAGAAGCGACCUCGCGAGAGCAAGCGGACCUCAUAAAGUGCGUCGUAGUCCGGAUUGGAGUCUGCAACUCGACUCCAUGAAGUCGGAAUCGCUAGUAAUCGUGGAUCAGAAUGCCACGGUGAAUACGUUCCCGGGCCUUGUACACACCGCCCGUCACACCAUGGGAGUGGGUUGCAAAAGAAGUAGGUAGCUUAACCUUCGGGAGGGCGCUUACCACUUUGUGAUUCAUGACUGGGGUGAAGUCGUAACAAGGUAACCGUAGGGGAACCUGCGGUUGGAUCACCU
rnacentral:rRNA from 1 species